ACGCACGCUGGCGGCAUGCCUAACACCUGCAAGUCGCACGAGACCUUCGGGUCUAGUGGCGCACGGGUGCGUAACGCGUGGGAACCUGCCCUUAGGUUCGGAAUAACUCCCCGAAAGGGGUGCUAAUACCGGAUAAUGUCUUCGGACCAAAGAUUUAUCGCCUUUGGAUGGGCCCGCGUUGGAUUAGCUAGUUGGUAGGGUAAAAGCCUACCAAGGCGACGAUCCAUAGCUGGUCUGAGAGGAUGAUCAGCCACACUGGGACUGAGACACGGCCCAGACUCCUACGGGAGGCAGCAGUGGGGAAUAUUGGACAAUGGGCGAAAGCCUGAUCCAGCAAUGCCGCGUGAGUGAUGAAGGCCUUAGGGUUGUAAAGCUCUUUUACCCGGGAUGAUAAUGACAGUACCGGGAGAAUAAGCUCCGGCUAACUCCGU
rnacentral:rRNA from 1 species